UACGAAGGGGGCUAGCGUUGUUCGGAGUUACUGGGCGUAAAGGGCGCGUAGGCGGCCCUCCAAGUCGGGCGUGAAAGCCCACGGCUCAACCGUGGAGGGUCAUUGGAAACUGGGGAACUUGAGUGCAGAAGAGAAGAGCGGAAUUCCACGUGUAGCGGUGAAAUGCGUAGAGAUGUGGAGGAACACCAGUGGCGAAGGCGGCUCUUUGGUCUGUAACUGACGCUGAGGCGCGAAAGCGUGGGGAGCAAACAGG
rnacentral:rRNA from 1 species